UACGUAGGGGGCAAGCGUUGUCCGGAAUCAUUGGGCGUAAAGAGCGUGUAGGCGGCCAGAUAAGUCCGCUGUGAAAACUCGAGGCUCAACUUCGAGCUGUCGGUGGAAACUAUUUGGCUAGAGUCCGGAAGAGGAGAGUGGAAUUCCUGGUGUAGCAGUGAAAUGCGUAGAUAUCGGGGGGAAUACCAGUGGCGAAAGCGGCACCCUAGCAUUUUUCUGACGCUCAUGUGCGAAAGCGUGGGGAGCGAACGGG
rnacentral:rRNA from 1 species